rnacentral:rRNA from 1 species
AUUGAACGCUGGCGGCAUGCUUUACACAUGCAAGUCGAACGGUAACAGGCCGCAAGGUGCUGACGAGUGGCGAACGGGUGAGUAAUGCAUCGGAACGUGCCCAGUCGUGGGGGAUAACGCAGCGAAAGCUGCGCUAAUACCGCAUACGAUCUAUGGAUGAAAGCGGGGGACCGUAAGGCCUCGCGCGAUUGGAGCGGCCGAUGUCAGAUUAGGUAGUUGGUGAGGUAAAGGCUCACCAAGCCAACGAUCUGUAGCUGGUCUGAGAGGACGACCAGCCACACUGGGACUGAGACACGGCCCAGACUCCUACGGGAGGCAGCAGUGGGGAAUUUUGGGCAAUGGGCGCAAGCCUGAUCCAGCAAUGCCGCGUGCAGGAAGAAGGCCUUCGGGUUGUAAACUGCUUUUGUACGGAACGAAACGGUCUGGGUUAAUACCCUGGGCUAAUGACGGUACCGUAAGAAUAAGCACCGGCUAACUACGUGCCAGCCGCCGCCGUAAUAC